rnacentral:rRNA from 1 species
ACCCGCUGAACUUAAGCAUAUCAAUAAGCGGAGGAAAAGAAACCAACAGGGAUUGCCUUAGUAACGGCGAGUGAAGCGACAAUAGCUCAAAUUUGAAAUCUGGCGUCUUUGGGCGUCCGAGUUGUAAUUUGUAGAGGAUGUUUCGGGUACGGUCCGGGCUUAAAUUUCUUGGAACAGAAUGUCAGAGAGGGUGAGAAUCCCGUCUGGAGUCUGCGACACGGCCUAUGUGAAACUCCUUCGACGAGUCGAGUUGUUUGGGAAUGCAGCUCUAAAUGGGUGGUAAAUUUCAUCUAAAGCUAAAUAUUGGCCAGAGACCGAUAGCGCACAAGUAGAGUGAUCGAAAGAUGAAAAGCACUUUGAAAAGAGAGUUAAACAGUAUGUGAAAUUGUUGAAAGGGAAGCGCUGGCAACCAGACUUGCGCGUGGCGGUUCCCCCUUGCUUCUGCUUGGGUUACUCCGUCGCGUUCAGGCCAACAUCGGUUUCGGGGGUCGGUUAAAGGCUCUGGGAAUGUAUCUACUCUUCGGGGUAGACUUAUAGCCCAGGGUGUCAUGCGACCUCCCGGGACCGAGGAACGCGCUUCGGCUCGGAUGUUGGCGUAAUGGUUGU